rnacentral:rRNA from 1 species
AGAGUUUGAUCAUGGCUCAGAAUCAACGCUGGCGGCGUGCCUAACACAUGCAAGUCGAACGCGAAAGCCCCUUCGGGGGUAAGUAGAGUGGCGUCCGGGUGAGUAACACGUGGGUAAUCUACCUCCGGGUGGGGAAUAACCCAGGGAAACUUGGGCUAAUACCGCAUAAUGCAGCGGCACCUAAUGGUGAUUAGUUGUUAAGGCGGGGGACCCUUUGGGGCCUCGCGCCUGGAGAGGAGCCUGCGGCAGAUUAGCUAGUUGGUGAGGUAACGGCUCACCAAGGCUACGAUCUGUAGCUGGUCUGAGAGGACGGCCAGCCACACUGGCACUGACACACGGGCCAGACUCCUACGGGAGGCAGCAGUGGGGAAUUUUGGGCAAUGGGCGAAAGCCUGACCCAGCAACGCCGCGUGAGGGAGGAAAUCCUUCGGGAUGUAAACCUCACAAGUAAGGGAAGAGAGCAGGGGGGUGAAUAACUCUCCUGUACGACGGUACCUUACGUAAGCCACGGCUAACUACGUGCCAGCAGCCGCGGUAAUACGUANGUGG